rnacentral:rRNA from 1 species
ACUCGAGUGGCGAACGGGUGAGUAACACGUGGGUGAUCUGCCCUGCACUUCGGGAUAAGCUUGGGAAACUGGGUCUAAUACCGGAUAGGAGCCAUCUUUAGUGUGGUGGUUGGAAAGUUUUUUCGGUGUAGGAUGAGCUCGCGGCCCAUCAGCUUGUUGGUGGGGUAAUGGCCUACCAAGGCGGCGACGGGUAGCCGGCCUGAGAGGGUGUACGGCCACAUUGGGACUGAGAUACGGCCCAG